rnacentral:rRNA from 1 species
UACGGGGGGGGCAAGCGUUGUUCGGAAUUACUGGGCGUAAAGGGCUCGUAGGCGGCCAACUAAGUCGGACGUGAAAUCCCUCGGCUUAACCGGGGAACUGCCUCUGAUACUGGAUGGCUUGAGAUUGGGAGAGGGAUGCGGAAUUCCAGGUGUAGCGGUGAAAUGCGUAGAUAUCUGGAGGAACACCGGUGGCGAAGGCGGCAUCCUGGACCAACACUGACGCUGAGGAGCGAAAGCCAGGGGAGCAAACGGG